rnacentral:rRNA from 1 species
CCUACGGGAGGCAGCAGUGGGGAAUAUUGCGCAAUGGGGGCAACCCUGACGCAGCAACGCCGCGUGAUUGAAGAAGGCCGUCGGGUUGUAAAGAUCUUUAAUCGGGGACGAAUUUUGACGGUACCCGAAGAAUAAGCUCCGGCUAACUACGUGCCAGCAGCCGCGGUAAUACGUAGGUGGCAAGCGUUAUCCGGAUUUACUGGGUGUAAAGGGCGAGUAGGCGGGAUUGCAAGUCAGAUGUGAAAACUAUGGGCUCAACCGAUAGAGUGCAUUUGAAACUGCAGUUCUUGAGUGAUGGAGAGGCA